UUUUAACCGUUGGCAGUAUCUAUUAAUUUUUUCAAUAUUUUUCGGAAACCGGUCCUUUGACAUGCUCAAGUGUUUGUACCGCAAAUGCCCGUGGAAACUUUUGACUUGACCGAAAACAAAGAGAAAUACAGAAUAUGAGUGUGGAAUAACUUAUUCGAAGCGAAAGUAGCUGCAUCCAACGAGAAAACGAAAAGCAGCAAAAUAAAUGGCUUUCAUUUGUUUUAUCGCGAAACAGUGAACACCUUAAUGAGUGAAGCGACUGUUGCGGAUGAUGCCCCGCCAGAACUGGCAGAGAUGAGUAAAAUUGGAUCAGAAAGAUGGAAGGCACUUGACGAUGCUUCGAGAAA